CCCUUAGACGUUCUGGGCCGCACGCGCGCUACACUGACCAGUGCAACAAGCAUCCGUCCUUGGCCGACAGGCCCGGGCAAUCUUUGAACGCUGGUCGUGAUGGGGAUAGACUUUUGCAAUUUUUGGUCUUCAACGAGGAAUUCCUAGUAAACGCAAGUCAUCAACUUGCAUUGAUUACGUCCCUGCCCUUUGUACACACCGCCCGUCGCACCUACCGAUUGAAUGGUCCGGUGAAGCCUCCGGAUUGGCGCGCACCGCGGUGCCGCCGAGAAGUUGGCUAAACCUUACCAUUUAGAGGAAGGUGAANUCGUAACA
rnacentral:rRNA from 1 species